rnacentral:rRNA from 1 species
AAUGAACGUUGCGGCGUGGAUUAGGCAUGCAAGUCGUGCGGGAGUAGCAAUACUCUAGCGGCGAAAGGGAGAGUAACACGUGGAUACCAACCCUUGGGACUGGGAUAGCUACGGGAAACUGUAGGUAAUACCAGAUGACGUCUCCGGACCAAAGGUGUGAUUCCGCCCGAGGACGGGUCCGCGUUCUAUUAGCUAGUUGGUAGGGUAACGGCCUACCAAGGCCAAGAUGGAUACGGGGUGUGAGAGCAUGCCCCCGCUCACUGGGACUGAGAUACUGCCCAGACACCUACGGGUGGCUGCAGUCGAGGAUCUUCGGCAAUGGGCGCAAGCCUGACCGAGUGACGCCGCGUGCGAGAUGGAGGCCUUCGGGUUGUAAAUCGCUGUCAGUGGGGAGGAAAUGCCGGUGGGUUCUCCCAUCGGUUUGACCUAUCCGCAGAGGAAGGACGGGCUAAGUUCGUGCCAGCAGCCGCCGUAAUAC